CUCUAUCAAUCGGUCCAAAUUUCAGUAUCACUAACUUGUUUGAGAUGAGAAAACUGAAACCUGGAAAGGAUGGAGCAUUCAUCAAAUAGGGAUAUUCAAGGAACAACCAAAAUGGAGAAUUUACCUUCAUGCACAGGCAAUAUGAGAACUACUUCAGAUUAUGUUUUAAAGUUGGUAGAACAUUGAUUGAAAGAGAGGAGGAGGUGAGAAUGUUCACUGGAAGCUAACAACUUCAGGAAACUUGAGGAAGUCAGCCUCUGGGGGUCUUCUAAAGAGGAUAACUUCCUCAAUCCUCUUACAAGUUUUUGCAUUUAAAAUAAAGUUGUAUUAUAUUAAAAAUGUGAAAAAUUC
rnacentral:lncRNA from 1 species